UACAGAGGUCUCAAGCGUUGUUCGGAUUCAUUGGGCGUAAAGGGUGCGUAGGCGGUGAGGUAAGUCGGAUGUGAAAUCCCGGGGCUCAACCCCGGAACUGCAUUCGAUACUGCCUUGCUUGAGCACUGGAGAGGAGACUGGAAUUUACGGUGUAGCAGUGAAAUGCGUAGAUAUCGUAAGGGAGACCAGUGGCGAAGGCGAGUCUCUGGACAGUUGCUGACGCUGAGGCACGAAGGCCAGGGGAGCAAACGGG
rnacentral:rRNA from 1 species